UCCGGUGCCUAUAUCGAAGAGGCCAUACCCGAUCCCAUCUCGAACUCGGAAGUCAAGCUCUUCGGAGCCGAUGGUACUGCACGGGCAACUGUGUGGGAGAGUAGGACGGUGCCGGGU
rnacentral:rRNA from 1 species